CAGUAGCCGCGGGAAUACGUAGGGUGCAAGCGUUAAUCGGAAUUACUGGGCGUAAAGCGUGCGCAGGCGGUUAUAUAAGACAGAUGUGAAAUCCCCGGGCUCAACCUGGGAACUGCAUUUGUGACUGUAUAGCUAGAGUACGGCAGAGGGGGAUGGAAUUCCGCGUGUAGCAGUGAAAUGCGUAGAUAUGCGGAGGAACACCGAUGGCGAAGGCAAUCCCCUGGGCCUGUACUGACGCUCAUGCACGAAAGCGUGGGGAGCAAACAGGAUUAGAUACCCGCGAGUCCCUGUCUCUUAUACA
rnacentral:rRNA from 1 species